ensembl:Mt_tRNA
AGGGACUUAGGCUAAGUGAGACCAAGGGCCUUCAAAGCCCUAAGCGGGAGUUAAAUUCUCCCAGACCCUG